AAUGGACACACUUGAGAUGAUUCUCUGUGGUUGGCUCCAUUGUUAGGAACAGAGACAUGAAUGUGAGUAAUAGUUACAGUGCUCUUAGUUUGAAUGGUUAUUUUUUAAAAAGAAUAUUCACUGUUUUAAUAAGAUAUAUUUUGUAUAAGCAAAGAAGGCCAACUAUGGCCCAGUGAUAAAUUAUUAUAUGAAACAUUGAGGAUAAUUAAUAUAAGAAAUAUACUGAUUUGGUAAAUGAUUGUAUAGGGAUAUUUAGGGUCCUUAUUCUUGUUUUUUUUUUAUUCAUAGGUAUUUGUUUUAUUAUUACCAGGGAAUUGGUAAAUUAAUUCAUAAAUAAAUAUUGAUGAAAACGAAAAAGAGGCCCAGGCUUGGAUCGAUGAUGAUGGCUGGUGGCGUAUGAAUCAUGCAUAAUGAAUGAUACGUGUCUGGAACUCUGAGGUCCAACAAAGAAAAUCUGGUCUACUGCCUCUAUUGGAAAUGGCCCUAUAAACAGAUGUUAAGAAUAUAUAAGGACCAUGUUCUUGGUCUUUUUGUUCAUGGAUUUUGAUUCUAUUAUUAUAAUUGGAUAUAUUAAAAUUAUAAACAAUUGAUCAAUAAAUAUAAAUAAGUAAAAUAUUGUUCCAUUAUGAAAAUGUGUCACAACAUAAGAGAAUCUAUUAAUAUGUAUUAAAAACACUGAGCCGAUUAAGACAUGGUUCAAUGGUGUGACUUCUUCGGCUAAUGUUGAAUCAUUGUUCCUAUUCUGGCUCAGUGACAAAUUUGAUGUUUAUUUUCUUAAAAAAAUAUUAAUAAAUGUUAUCCCAAAAUAAUAAAUGCCUAAAUUACUCACUAAAUAAAAGUUGAAAUGGAUUAAUGGAGAGAUAAUGUCUCUCUCUCUCUUUUUUUUUCUAUCUACUCUGCUCUGUACUUCUCAGAGUGGUCACACAAGCUGAUUAAAGCACCUUUCAUUAUUAUGAGCUCUAUAGGAUAUGGAGACCAGCAAUGGAUCCAUUGGACCUGAUUCUUCCAUGGUCACAAGAUGUCUGCUUGUCUCUAUGUGUUUGGUACAUAGAAAGAAGGAAUGCACACACUCAAGGUGGUUUAAGUAGUAUGCCUCGACCAAUGAUCUCUGCAUUUGCCUGUCGGAACAUGGAUACCAACGUGAGUCAUAGUCAACAUUUUCAUCUCACUUUGGGUGGUUUCUUUAGGGGAUUCUCUGUAAUAUUUGAAACAAGUAUUCAGUGUAAGAGGAAAGACCAACCAUGAUCCAGUCAUGAAAUUGGAAAUGUAUGAAACAUGAUGUUGAUUAAUCUACUUAUACAGCAAUGAAGAUGAUUAAUGGAAGGUAUUUCAAUGAUGCAAUGAUUCUAAAGAAAAAUGAUAGGGUUACUGAAGGCCCUUGUCCUUGGGCUUUUGUGAGUCAUAGAUAUUUAUUUAAUCACCAAAGUGAAUUGAUGAAUUGAUCCUUAAAAAAUGCAUAGGAGAAUAAAGAAAAGGAGGCUUGUGCAUGGACCAAUGAUGACAGCUGGUGGCGUAUGAGUCAUAUACGAUGAAUGCUACGUGUCUGGAAGUCUGAGGUCCAACACAAUGUUCCUGUGGAUCGGUGUUAGGAAAAUACAAGAAUAUUGUUAUAGUAAUCAUGGAUUCAUGAAUUUCUAUGUUAUUCAUAUAAAUGAAUGGGUCACUUCUAGAACCAAUAAAUAAACAUGUAAGUAAAUAGAACCAUGGAAGAAGCCUUGUCAAUUAUGUAUAUAUAUAUAUAUAUGCAGUGGAGCAAGAACUACUAUUAAUAUAAACUGAAGAAACCAAUGCAGGUUAAGAGAUAAAAUGGACCAAGGGUGUUCCCUCUUUAUCUAAGGAUCAUAAUGUUACAUUUAUAUUUAUGCUAAUAUAUGUGUAGAAAUUAUGAAAAAUAAAAGGUACCUUUAUGAUUGAAUAAAUGAAAUGAGUAAAACAAGGAUCCAUUUAAAGAAGACUUCAAUUUUUUUUAUUACCUGCUCUGCUCUGUACUCCUCAGAAUGGGUGCACAACUCCAGUGGGCUGAAGCAUCUCCUGCGGUCACAAGCUCUAUGUUGCAGAGACGAAUGUGAGUAAUAGUUGUGUGUCUGCAUUUGCAAAUUUAUUGUUUCAAGUAUUCACUGUAUUAUCAAAAGUAUGAAAUAUAAUAAGAAAUGUCAACCAUCAGGAAUGAUAUAUAUGGGAUUGGUCUGCUGCAUUGUAUUAAUCCAUAUAUAGAACUUUGAUGAUAAUUAGUGAAAGAGAUAUAUCAAUGUGGUAGAUGAUCCUAUAGGCAGAUAUAGAAUAUUCUUAUUCUUGGGUUUUUGUGAAUCAUAGAAUUUUAGGAAUUGAUAUUAGUGAAUUCAUGAAUUGGUCAGUGAACUUAUGCAGUUAAGAAUGAAAAGAGGCUCAGGUUUGGACCAAUGAUGAUAGUUGGUGGCGUAUGAGUCAUGGAUGAUGAAUAUUAUGUGUCUGAAACCCUGAGGUCCAAUAAAAAAAGAAAGCUGAUCUGUUGCCUCUGUUUGACAUGGUAUUUUAGACAAAUAUUAGGAAUAUAGAAUAAUAAUUUUCUUGCUUUGUGUUUAUGAGUUUUGGUUUUACUGUUAAAAAUGGCCCAAAGAGACAAUAAGUGUACAGUUACAAAUAAGAUAAAGAGAGUGAAACAUGUUUGCUCUUAGUAUAUGUGGUGAGGGGAUAAAAGCUAUUAAUAUAUAUUUAAAAUGCUACAGUUCAUUAAGAAAUGUAAAUGUUUCACGUGUCUUACUCUUUGGCCAAGAAUGAUUAUAUAGACAAUGAAUAUAAAAAUUCUUAUUUUAUGUUAGUGUUAGGUUUGACAUUUUUUUUGAGAAAAAUAGUUAAUAUGAUCCCAAUUCACUGCAUUCCUAAAUGACUAACUGAAGAUAAAAUGUGUGGAUCAAUAGUCUCUCAUACCAUUAUUGUCUGUUCUGCUUUGUAUUCCUCAGAAUGGAUACACUUGAACUUACUUAGGCAUUUGGCUGUGAUCAGGUGCUCAUGGAUGCCCCUGUGUGUGAGAGCAUGAAAGCCAAUGUGAGUGACAGAUUCUUCUCCUGGUUUAGGUGGUUUGUAUAGGAUAUUCAGUGUCAUAUUAAAAAUUCAAGGAUUUCCAAACAUAGCUCAAUGAUACAAUAAACAAUACAAUGAUACAAUAAAAUUGGUGUUGACAAUAAACAUUAUGGUAACUAAUCAAUAUGUUCCACAAUGAAGACCAUUGGUCAAAUAAAUAUAUUCAGUGAGGCAAAAGGUUCUAUAGACAGAUGCCAAAGAUACUUAAGUAUCUUGUCCUUGAGUUUUGUGAUUCACAGAUACUUAUUUUAUUAUUAUUAUUGACUUAAUAAAUUGAUAGUAAACAAAUGUAAACAAGAAUGAAGAAAAGGAGAUCCAAGCAUGGACCAAUGAUGACAGCUGGUGGCGUAUGAGUCAUAUACAAUGAAUGCUAUGUGUCUGGAAGUCUGAGGUCCAGCCAACACAAAGAUAUCUAGUCUAGUCCCUCUGUUCACAGUGUUCCUAUAGACAGAGGUCAGGAAUAUACAAGGACUUUGUUCUUAUUCUUUGUGUUCAUGAAUUUUUAGAAAUAUUAUAGAAGUAUUAAUGACAGAAUAAACAAAUGAAUAAAUGAGCAAAUGAAUAAAGAUGAAGAGGGUUAAGUAUUGUUCAUUAUUAAAAUAUAUAGCAAAGAGAAAUAUUAGUAGAAGAAUGGAUAAUAAAUGAAUGAAAUUUAUUUUACAUUUUUGACUAAGGGUAAUAUAGACAGCAAUCAGUAAUACUCAAUUAUUGUGUCAUGGAAAUAAAGGGUACAAUAUAAAGAAUAUAGUCAAUGAUAUCAUAAUAGCAUAUUGAGUAUAGCAUAAUGUUUAGAGAUGUUGGAUCAUGUAUUGUACACCUGAAACUAAUGUAGCACUGUGUCAACUGUACUCAAAUAAAAAGAAAAUUAAAAAAAAUUUUAAAUUCAAUUUAAUUAACAUAUAGUGUAUUAUUAGUUUCAGAGGUAGAAUUUAGUGAUUUGUCAGUUGCAUAUAACACCCAGGAGUCAUUAUAUCACAUGCCCUCCUUCAUGAGCAUCACCUAGUUACCCCAUUCCCCAUCUCACUCCCUUCCAGCAACCCUGUUUGUUUCUUAUGAUUAAGAGUCUCUUAUGGUUUCUUUCCAUCUUCUUUUCUUUUUCCUUCCCCUAUGGUCCUCUGUUCUGUUUCUUAAAUUCCACAUAUGAGCGAAAUCCUAUGGUAUUUGCCUUUCUCAGACUGACUUAUUUCACUUAGAGUAAUACCCUCUAGUUCCAUCCAUGUUGUUGCAAAUGGCAAGAUUUCAUUCUUUUUGAUGGCCG
rnacentral:lncRNA from 1 species